CUCAGACUCCUCCAAUGGGAGGGCGGCUCUCCGAGAAGGCGGAGGGGGUGGCGGGCAGUCGUCGGACUGACAAGGGGGCCCAGCCAAUGGGGGCGGCGAGCCGGAGCUGCCCUCCCGCGCGUGCCAAUCGCAGGCGGCAACUGUUGGGGUGGGCGGAGCUCGGGCGGGCGGGGGCCCGGAGCGGAGCGGCGCGGGGCGGAGUCCUCGGGCGCAGCGGCGGUGGCAGCGGCGGCGCCCCUCUGGGUGACUUGGCCGUGAGAAAGUGAAAGGAGCCCGCAGGCGGCGGCGACAGCUGCGCUGGGAGGGGCUUGUUUCCAGGCUCGGAGGCCCCGCGCACUCUGGGGGCGCGGAGCGAGCCUUUUGGUGUGCACCUUGACAACCACAAAUACACUUUUAAACGUAGUGGGGCUUGGCCGCCGCGAGUUGCGCAGGUGUCCCGGAGAGGCAGGGCACCCGGGGACACGCAGGGCUCCAGGCCGGCUUCGGCUGUCUCUCCCUGCUCCCUCCUGCGGGGCGACGGCGCCCGGGUCCUGGGCUGCCCGUGCGCGGGGUAGCGGGACCGAGGAACGCUCUCGCUCGUCCUGCGGCGUCCCGCGCCCAGGUGCACAUCGGGGCGCUGGGGACGCGAGCAACUCGGGCACAGUUUCUGGGAGUCGUUCUGACGUCAUCGUGUCACGGGCAGAGCGGGGCAGGGCGCCUGCCUUUCUCGCGAAACGCUCCCGUCCCUUGUAUGCUUACACUGUUGCAAGACAUCCCCGAGUGACCAAAUUUUAGAGCAUUGCAGUAAAAUUGGUACUUGCAGACGCCCUAGCUUGAUUCCUUAAUUGGUACGUAUGUAGCCACAACUUUAAACUACCGAGGGAAGAUGGAAGGCUGCUGUGUCGCUUUUCCUUCCCCUCGAAGAAACUUUCACUCGGUACCUGUUCUUGGCGAUUAAACUGCAUUAAUCACGGCCACAGAGACGCGUGGGAAUGUCUGCCGUCAAGAAACUGGAAAUCGUGUUGAGGCAAGAAUUACAAGUAAAAAGUUGAAUAACAAGUGGUGGGGGAGCAGGAAUGGCUCAAGAAAAGAAAAUAGAAAAAAAACAAAACUGCAUAGUGAGGAAGUCAGUCCACUACCACUGGACACCUAUCAUGUGUAAGGCCUGGUUCCAGUGACAUCAGCCUCUGUACAACCAUUUGGCCUGGCUCAUAAGCAGAUGCAUGAACUAGCGUUGGAAGGAAAUACUCUUGAACUACUUUGAUAAGGGUACAUUCUGACCCAACCUAGAAAUACCCCAGAUGGAUGUGGUAGAGACUUUACUCCUGGGAGAAGCAUAGCAAUUCUUUAGUAUAUGUAAGAGGUAUUUCAUCCUUGAGGCAUUUUAGAGUCUCACAGAUUUUCUCUGUUCAGGAAGGUGUUUCUUUGCUAACUCAUAUUCGUCUUUCAAUCAGCUGGUUUGAUGGCCUUCCAGAGGCUGCCGGGAAGAUCUGACAAGUGGAAAGAAAAAAGACAAGCAAACCUCGAAGAGCAUUUCAGAAAGAAAGAAAAGAAAAUAUCCAAAGGACUGGGGGGAAGAAUGGAGGGAAACAAAUAAAAUUAGACAAAGUUUUAGAAAGCAAA